rnacentral:rRNA from 1 species
AGAGCAUACGGUGGAUGCCUUGGCGAUAUCUGCCGACGAAGGACGUGACAAGCUGCGAAAAGCUGCGGAGAGAUGCAAAUAAUCGGCGACCCGCAGACAUCCGAAUGGAGCAAUCCGGCUGUGAUGAUGCACAGCCAUCCAUGCCCAAGAGCAUGAGAAGGGAACCGGGCGAACUGAAACAUCUAAGUAACCCGAGGAAAAGAAAUCAAACGAGAUACCCCAAGUAGCGGCGAGCGAACAGGGAAGAAGCCCAAACCGGUGAAGGAAACUUUACCGGGGUUGAGGACCAUCAGACCCGCGAAGAACCUUAGCCGAAACUGUUGGGAAACAGUGCCGAAGACAGUGAAAGCCUGGUAGGCGAAAAAGAGAAACGCGGAGAUGGCACCAGAGUACCGCGGGACACGAGAAAUCCCGUGGGAAGCAGGGGGGACCACCCUCCAAGGCAAAACACAGAUAUCGACCGAUAGCGCAUAGUACCAUGAGGGAAAGGUGAAAAGCACCCCGGGAGGGGAAUGAAAGAGAACCUGAAACCGUAUGUUUACAAGCAGUCGGAGACCGCUUAAUAAUAAGGUCGACGGCGUGCCUAUUGAAGAAUGAACCGGCGAGUUACGAAGCCUGGCAAGGUUAAGCAGGAAAUGCGGAGCCGAAGCGAAAGCGAGUCUUAAGAGGGCGCAAGUCAGGAAGCGUAGACCCGAAACCACAGUGAUCUACCCAUGUCCAGGUUGAAACACAGGUAAAAAUGUGUGGAGGACCGAACCUAUAUCCGUUGAAAAGGGUUAGGAUGAGGUGUGGGUAGGGGUGAAAUUCCAAUCGAACGUGGAGAUAGCUGGUUCUCCCCGAAAUAGCUUUAGGGCUAGCCUCAGGGAAAAGAUUGCAGGCGGUAGAGCACUGAUCAGGAGAGGGACCUACCCGGUUACCAAACCCAGUCAAACUCCGAAUGGCUGCAAUCAUACCUGGGAGUCAGACUGCGACUAAUAAGGGCCGCAGUCAAAAGGGAAACAGCCCAGACCAUCAGCUAAGGUCCCCAAUGCCGUGCUAAGUGGCGAAGGAUGUGGCAUUUCAUAAACAACCAGGAUGUUGGCUCAGAAGCAGCCACCAUUUAAAGAGUGCGUAAUAGCUCACUGGUCGAGAGACGCUGCGCCGAAAAUGUCCGGGGCUCAAGCACGGAACCGAAGCUAUGGCAUGAUAGCAAUAUCAUGGGUAGGGGAGCGUUCUUAUAAGGAAGAAGCAUGACCGGAAGGACAUGUGGACAAAUAAGAAGUGAGAAUGCCGGUAUGAGUAUCGAAAAGAAAGGUGAGAAUCCUUUCCACCGAAAGCCCGAGGGUUCCUGAGCAACGAUCGUCGACUCAGGGUAAGUCGGGACCUAAGCCGAGGCGAAAAGCGUAGGCGAUGGACAACAGGUUGAAAUUCCUGUACCGGAUCAAGUCGAUCGAGCGAAGGAGCGACGCAGGAGGGCACAUGAUCGCGCGGCUGGAAGAGCGCGUCCAAGUGCGUAUGUUGCAGCAGAGGAAAACCCCUGCAGCUAAAAGCAGAGACAUGAUGGGGAGUUAAAGGAAACUUUGACGAACUCAUGAAUCCCACACUGCCAAGAAAAACUUCUAGCGAGACAAGAUCCGCCCGUACCGUAAACCGACACAGGUAGGCGGGGAGAGAAUCCUAAGGUGCGCGGGAAAACCCUCGUUAAGGAACUCGGCAAAUUGCAUCCGUAACCUAGGGAGAAGGAUGGCCCCCGGUCAGUGAAGAGCAGAAACGCUCAGAGCUAAAAGGGGCGGCAGAAAAGAGGCCCAAGCAACUGUUUACCAAAAACACAGGUGCCUGCGAAAGCGAAAGCUGAAGUAUAGGUGCUGACGCCUGCCCGGUGCCGGAAGGUUAAGGAGAGAAGUUAGCGAAAGCGAAGCAUCGAACUGAAGCCCCGGUGAACGGCGGCCGUAACUAUAACGGUCCUAAGGUAGCGAAAUUCCUUGUCGGGUAAGUUCCGACCCGCAUGAAAGGCGUAAUGAUUUGGGCACUGUCUCAACGAGGGGCCCGGUGAAAUUGAAAUACCUGUGAAGAUGCAGGUUACCCGCGACUGGACAGAAAGACCCCAUGGAGCUUCACUGCAGCUUGAGAUUGAAUCCCGGUGACAGAUGCACAGGAUAGGUGGGAGGCGCCGAAGCAUUGCCCUAGGGCGGUGCGGAGCCGAUGUUGGGAUACCACCCUUCUGUUGCUGAGAUUCUAACGCGAGGAGUAACGACCCUGCGGACCCUCUCAGGCAGGCGGUUUGACUGGGGCGGUCGCCUCCGAAAGAGUAACGGAGGCGCCCAAAGGU